rnacentral:lncRNA from 1 species
UGUCGCUGAUGGACAGCUUGGCAUCGCGCAGGGCCUGCUGCACCGGCACCUUGCAGCGCUCCAGCAGGUCGUUGCACAUCUCCUCGAACUUGGCGCGGGUCAGCUGGGUGUCGAUGUGCUUGGGACCAUCGGCGGUGGCAGUAAUGAAGGGCAGGUUGAUGGAGGUCUGGGCCAUUCCCGACAGCUCAAUCUUGGCCUUCUCGGCCGCCUCGGUCAGGCGCUGUGUGGGUGGGAAAGGGGCAGAGUAGUCGGGUCAGCAAGCCGCACGACAGCGCUGAACGGGACUGGUUCAGCCAACCCUUGAAUAGCAUCAGACUGCGCAAACGCCAUGUGCUCCGAUCCAUCCCCUUCCCUCCCGACACUAGUAUCCGGCCCUCUCCACGCCUCGACAGCCAACACACGACCCACUCUUCACGCCUUCAAGCCCCAGCCUACCCCUCCUCAAGAACCCUGGCUCAAUCGCCUCCGCCGCUCACCUGUAGUGCCUGGCGGUCCUUGCGCAGGUCAAUGCCCUCGCUCUUCUUGAAGUCAUCAGCCAGGAAGUCCACGAUGCGCUUGUCGAAGUCGUCACCGCCCAGGUGGGUGUCGCCGCUGGUGGACAGCACCUCGAACACGCCGUCGCCCACCUCCAGCACCGACACAUCGAAGGUGCCGCCGCCCAGGUCGAACACCAGGAUGGUCUCGUUGGCCUUCUUGUCAAAGCCGUACGCCAGCGAGGCGGCGGUGGGCUCGUUGAUGAUGCGCAGCACCUCCAGACCGGCAAUCUUGCCCGCG